AGCAUGGUCUUAGCUUGCUAAGGCCGAUGGCGACCGGCGCACGGGUGAGUAACACGUAUCCAACCUGCCGUCUACUCUUGGACAGCCUUCUGAAAGGAAGAUUAAUACAAGAUGGCAUCAUGAGUCCGCAUGUUCACAUGAUUAAAGGUAUUCCGGUAGACGAUGGGGAUGCGUUCCAUUAGAUAGUAGGCGGGGUAACGGCCCACCUAGUCUUCGAUGGAUAGGGGUUCUGAGAGGAAGGUCCCCCACAUUGGAACUGAGACACGGUCCAAACUCCUACGGGAGGCAGCAGUGAGGAAUAUUGGUCAAUGGGCGCAGGCCUGAACCAGCCAAGUAGCGUGAAGGAUGACUGCCCUAUGGGUUGUAAACUUCUUUUAUAAAGGAAUAAAGUCGGGUAUGGAUACCCGUUUGCAUGUACUUUAUGAAUAAGGAUCGGCUAACUCCGUGCCAGCAGCCGCGGUAAUACGGAGGAUCCGAGCGUUAUCCGGAUUUAUUGGGUUUAAAGGGAGCGUAGAUGGAUGUUUAAGUCAGUUGUGAAAGUUUGCGGCUCAACCGUAAAAUUGCAGUUGAUACUGGAUAUCUUGAGUGCAGUUGAGGCAGGCGGAAUUCGUGGUGUAGCGGUGAAAUGCUUAGAUAUCACGAAGAACUCCGAUUGCGAAGGCAGCCUGCUA
rnacentral:rRNA from 1 species